GAUGAACGCUGGCGGCGUGCCUAAUACAUGCAAGUCGAGCGAACGGACGAGAAGCUUGCUUCUCUGAUGUUAGCGGCGGACGGGUGAGUAACACGUGGAUAACCUACCUAUAAGACUGGGAUAACUUCGGGAAACCGUAGCUAAUACCGGAUAAUAUUUUGAACCGCAUGGUUCAAAAGUGAAAGACGGUCUUGCUGUCACUUAUAGAUGGAUCCGCUCUGCAUUAGCUAGUUGGUAAGGUAACGGCUUACCAAGGCAACGAUGCAUAGCCGACCUGAGAGGGUGAUCGGCCACACUGGAACUGAGACACGGUCCAGACCCCUACGGGAGGCAGCAGUAGGGAAUCUGCCGCAAUGGGCGAAAGCCUGACGGAGCAACGCCGCGGGAGUGAUGAAGGUCUUCGGAUCGUAAAACUCUGUUAUUAGGGAAGAACAUAUGUGUAAGUAACUGUGCACAUCUUGACGGUACCUAAGCAGAAAGCCACGGCUAACUACGU
rnacentral:rRNA from 1 species